UACAGAGGGUGCAAACGUUGCUCGGAAUUACUGGGCGUAAAGCGCGUGUAGGCGGACUGAUAAGUCAGGCGUGAAAUCCCUGGGCUCAACCCGGGAACUGCGCUUGAAACUGCCAGUCUUGAGUAUCGGAGAGGGUAGCGGAAUUCCUGGUGUAGAGGUGAAAUUCGUAGAUAUCAGGAGGAACACCGGUGGCGAAGGCGGCUACCUGGACGAUUACUGACGCUGAGACGCGAAAGCGUGGGGAGCAAACAGG
rnacentral:rRNA from 1 species